GAUGAACGCUGGCGGCGUGCCUAAUACAUGCAAGUCGAGCGAACGGACGAGAAGCUUGCUUCUCUGAUGUUAGCGGCGGACGGGUGAGUAACACGUGGAUAACCUACCUAUAAGACUGGGAUAACUUCGGGAAACCGGAGAUAAUACCGGAUAAUAUUUUGAACCGCAUGGUUCAAAAGUGAAAGACGGUCUUGCUGUCACUUAUAGAUGGAUCCGCGCUGCAUUAGCUAGUUGGUAAGGUAACGGCUUACUAAGGCAACGAUGCAUAGCCGACCUGAGAGGGUGAUCGGCCACACUGGAACUGAGACACGGUCCAGACUCCUACGGGAGGCAGCAGUAGGGAAUCUUCCGCAAUGGGCGAAAGCCUGACGGAGCAACGCCGCGUGAGUGAUGAAGGUCUUCGGAUCGUAAAACUCUGUUAUUAGGGAAGAACAUAUGUGUAAGUAACUGUGCACAUCUUGACGGUACCUAAUCAGAAAGCCACGGCUAACUACGUG
rnacentral:rRNA from 1 species